rnacentral:lncRNA from 1 species
GUCUUGGAUGGCUGAGGGCUGUGUGUCCCCACUCUGGGCCACCCGCUGCCCCAGGACCCACAGGGGGGUGGCGCUGGGCUAUGGCGCCUCUGCCCUGCAGCUCGGGCCCACUCAGGGCCCGUGUGCCCCCCAGGUGCCCCCCGGGAUCGCCCACCAGGGAGCCACGCAGGUGCCCGGUGACCCAGAGAUGUCCAGGUCCUCAAGGAUGGUGUUCAGAUGCACUUCUGAGCCCGGCCUGGUGGUGUGCGCUGUAAUCCUCACACUGGGGAGGCUGAGGCAGGAGGAUUACUGUCAGUGCAAGGCCAGCCUGAACUAUGUAGUGAGACUGUCUCAAGAAAAUAAAAAAAGAAGAAGAGUGAGUCUUCUUGUCCUUACUGGGAAACCCCAAGCUGCUUUUUAAAAACCAGG